rnacentral:rRNA from 1 species
GACGUAGGGCGCGAGCGUUGUCCGGAUUUAUUGGGCGUAAAGAGCUCGUAGGCGGCUUGUUGCGUCAGCUGUGAAAACCCGCAGCUCAACUGUGGGCUUGCAGCUGAUACGGGCAGGCUUGAGUUCGGUAGGGGAGACUGGAAUUCCUGGUGUAGCGGUGAAAUGCGCAGAUAUCGGGAAGAACACCCGUGGCGAAGGCGGCUCUCUGGGACGGUACCGACGCUGAGACGCGAAAGCGUGGGGAGCGAACAGG